UACAGAGGGUGCAAGCGUUAAUCGGAAUUACUGGGCGUAAAGCGCGCGUAGGUGGUUCGUUAAGUUGGAUGUGAAAUCCCCGAGCUCAACUUGGGAAUUGCAAUGGAUACUGGCAGGCUGGAGUAUGGUAGAGGAAGGUGGAAUUCCCGGUGUAGCAGUGAAAUGCGUAGAGAUCGGGAGGAACACCAGUGGCGAAGGCGGCCUUCUGGACCAAUACUGACGCUCAUGCACGAAAGCGUGGGGAGCAAACAGG
rnacentral:rRNA from 1 species